rnacentral:rRNA from 1 species
AUUUUGGAAGACGAACUACUGGAAAGCAUUACCAAGGAUGUUUCAUAAUCAAGAACGAAAGUUAGGGAUCGAAGAUGAUUAGAUACCAUCGUAGUCUUAACCAUAAACUAUGCCGACAAGGGAUUGGCGGAGUUUCGUUUGUCUCCGUCAGCACCUUAUGAGAAAUCACAAGUCUUGGGUUCCGGGGGGAGUAUGGUCGCAAGGCUGAAACUUAAAGAAAUUGACGGAAGGGCACCACCAGGAGUGGAGCUUGCGGCUUAAUUGACUCAACACGGGAAAACUUACCAGGUCCAGACAUAGUGAGGAUUGACAGAUUGAGAGCUC